GCGUGGGCCAAUGGGAGAGCUGGAUGUUAGCGUGUGGGAGGCGCGGCUGGGUUGCUACAGCCAGAGCUGGGCGGCGGCGGGCGCUGCCGGAGGAGCCCGAGGCGGUGCGCCAUGGAGGGGCUGGAAGAAAAUGGAGGUGUUGUCCAGGUUGGAGAACUGUUGCCUUGCAAGAUUUGUGGAAGAACAUUCUUUCCAUUGGCACUGAAAAAGCAUGGACCCAUUUGCCAGAAAACUGCCACUAAAAAAAGGAAGACUUUUGAUUCCAGCAGGCAGAGAGCUGAAGGCACUGAUAUUCCCACAGUCAAACCUCUUAAACCCAGGCCAGAACCACCAAAGAAGCCAUCUAAUUGGAGAAGAAAGCAUGAAGAAUUCAUUGCUACCAUAAGAGCAGCAAAAGGCCUUGAUCAGGCACUUAAAGAGGGGGGCAAACUUCCCCCUCCUCCUCCACCUUCUUAUGACCCUGAUUACAUUCAGUGUCCAUAUUGCCAGAGGAGGUUCAACGAAAAUGCAGCGGAUAGACAUAUCAAUUUCUGUAAAGAACAGGCAGCACGCAUUAGUAAUAAGGGCAAAUUUUCUGCUGAUCCCAAAGGAAAGCCAGCUUCUCGGCCACAGUAUAAGCCAUCUCCACUUAAAAAAUCAAAUUCUCCUGGGACUACAUCAUCAGGAUCUUCCCGACUACCACAACCAAGUACUACUAACAAAACUGUUGUAGGUGUGCCUUCGGGUAAAGCAUCUUCAGUUAACAGUUCUCUGGGAAACAAACUUCAGACCUUAUCUCCUUCUCAUAAAGCAAUAGCAGCCCCCCAGGCAGGAGCUAACAUCAAACCUCGAAAUACUACACCUCCUAGCUUGGCAAGAAAUUCUGGGGCUGGUGUGCUUACCAACAAAAGAAAAACAUUUACUGAGAGCUAUGUAGCCAGUGAUUAUGAAACAAACUUUAAACAAUCAAUUCUUCUCUCAAAACUGUGUUCAUGCCAGCUGUCUGUACCAUUGAGGAUGAAGUCCAUAUGGGUUGGGGAAGAGGAAGAGCAAGAGGAUGUUGCCACCCCACAUGGAACGUCACUGGAGCAUGUGUGGAUUGCAUACAAACAUCCAGCCCACAGCUACAUGCUGAAGUGGCUGGGAAGAGCAAGAAGAAUGAUGUGACUCUUGUUGUCGUGAGCAUUAUCCAUCACUGUGAGCCCUCCAGCAUCUCUAUCAUGUAAGAUGACAGUUCCACUCUUCAGAUUGUUCACUGAUGCCCAGUGGACCAUAACAUCAUUUUGCUGAUGAAUUCUUAGGUUUUAUUUUUGUAGGUUUGAUAUCUUCUGAAAUAUUUGGAAAAGGUUUAGAAAGUAUUGCAGAUAACAUGAUUGCCUUACAACAUCAGUGCAGUCGAUAUAUGUCCAUAUGUAUAUUCUGACUGCAGCUAUCAGUUACAGAUUGUUUGUGUCCAUUUUCUAGUACCUCAUUGUGGAUUUCCCAGUGGCUCUGGUCAUUUGACCAGGAGGCAUCCAGCAACUUCUGAGGAGAUUUCAUUUCCUCAAAAUGUAUCAACCGGUAGAUUUUUGGAGACUGCAAUUGCAUGUCCUAUGUUUAUAUACUGCCCUUCAAAAUUUUAUUCCAACAAGUUUUUAUCUCUCUCAGUAGUCUCUUUAGGAAACAUGGGUCAUUCUUUUUCUGUUCCUUUAAAUUCUUUUCUUCCUAGAAAAAUAAAUUCAUAAGAUUUAAUUUAAUUUAACUCUUUGAUAUAACAUGUCUCAAGACAUUUGCAUUUUAUUUUUCAUCAUAUUAGAUUAUACCUAAUAUUUAGUAUACCAGAAUGAAGACUCUUGCAUGCCAUCUUAAAACUAUGACCUAUGGUGAUAAUUAUGAUUUCUGACUGACAGGAAAGUCCAGGCUACUUAAGCUUAGUGUAUCAUCUGCCAUUUUCACCCUGCAUCAGUGGACUCCUAUAAAUGAUACAUAUUUUACAUCAUUUAAUUGAACUUCUUUUAUGAAAAAAAUUAAUUUUAGUGAAAAGAUUUAACACUGAAAAUAUUUAGAUUAAUAAUAAUUUGUCUGAUUCAACUGAUAUCUUAGAGUCUGCUACAAAAACUUAGUGUUUACUGAAGUAUUGCUGCCAUCUGCCUUCUAAGUUGAUCUUGUCACCUCAUUAAGAACUUUGAAAGGCUACUGGUACAGUGUUGAGAAAAUGGAGAGAGAUGCCUGCAUACAGCAGAUACUGGAGAGCAACAGUCAUAUUUCCUCUGAGCCGUGUGACAUGGUAGGAUGAUUCCUCAUUUAAUGAAGAACCAGUUAUUGAAUAUUUUCUGGGCCAGAUAUUACUCUAAGUAUACCACAUACUUUAUUCUGUUUACUUGGUAACCCCAUGACCUUGAUGAUUUCACCUCUGUCCAAAAAUGAGGAUAUUAAGUCACAAAGAGGUAAGAGCCAGUGUGACAUGGAUACAUCUUGAGCUCAUUUUUUAAAUUUAGUCACAAAUUCAUAUCUCUGUUAGUUAUAUACUUAAGUAACAGCAGCAUGUGGCUUUUAAGUAACUUCAGAGAGUGUAUAAGAGAUUUUGAAGAUAGAUAUGGGGAAACUUUUCAUUAAUCUUUUCAGCGGGGACACCAGAGCAUUUUUAAAGAACCAAUGGAAGUUCCCUUGACUACUGUAUUUGAAUAAGAGAAAGGCAAUUGGUACUUCCAUGGCCUUAGUGUAAGUACAUUUCCAUAGGUUCUACAUCCUUGGGUUUAAUCAACUGAAAUUGGAAUAUACUUGAAGAAUAUGGGUAGACUGCACUGAACAUGUGUGGACUCUUGUUCUUGUCAUUGUUCCUCAAACUACACAUCAUAAAAUCUAAAUACUUAUCAUUUCCAUUGCUCUGGGCACUUUAAGAGGCCUAUAUGCAAUUUAGAGUAUAUAGGAGGACAUGUAUAGGUUAUAUACAGAAACCCCAUCCUUUUCUGUAAGGAAUGUGAGCAUUGACAGAACUUUGUAUGUGAGGAGAUGGCCUGACUAUUCACCUUGAAUAGUGAUGUACAACAAUACACGACAUGGAAAAAGUAGGCAGAAAAAACAUUGCUUUUACCUCUCAGAUUCUGGAGAUUAAAGUAUUCUAAACUUUUCAAAUUCUUAGUCACAUGUUCUUAGCAUUUUUAUUUUGUGUCCAGCUAACAUAUUUGUAUACUUUGAGUUGGGAUGUCUAGAGUAUGCAAACCCACCUACUGCCUAACAAAGAACGUUUAUGCUUCCAUGUAUGUGUUGAUUAAACAUCAGUAAUGGAAAGAAUCCAUCAUCCAGAAGUCAGCAUACUCAUUGUUCAAUGUCCCAGACUGCUUGGUUUUUAAAGCAGAUUCAAAUGGGCUUUCUGACUUUGAACCCGUGCAAGACCGGCUUUCUAAAAGCUGAGGCUUCCUUGUAGAGUGAGGUACUACAUCUCUACUUGACGUGGUUAGCAGCACUUACAGUGAUACCACAAUAGAGGUGACCACCAGGGAAUGAUUGCAGCCUACACAGGAAUGAGCAUGUUUGGUUCACAGUCAGCAUGCUUUGGGUUCACAACCCAUGCUUACCUUGCUUGUGCAGUUCACCAGUGUUUGUGUGCCUUGGGAAACUGUUAGUAAGUGGAUAUUGAACUCUUCACUGAUAUUCAUUUUCAGAAAUUGCUUCAAUUUACGAGCAGCACGAUUUAGAAAAGCAGCUUCCUAAGAAAAGAAUCCAAAAGGGCUGUGGUGAGAAAUUUUAGUUUCUCAAUUAAUAUAAAGCUAGAGCCCUGUCUCUGAGUAAAACUCCACCUCCACCCCAGCUUUCACUUCUGGUUAAUCAUGUGACUGACGAGUAACAGAAUGAAACUGCUUGGCUCUGAGAAGACAGAGAACAUGAAGUGCCUAGACUCUGGUUUAAUGAUUAUCUGGCUUUGAAAUAGCCGUUUCUCCAGUAUGUACAUGUGGCUUUAUCAUUUAUGGGUGAAUGCGUUACAAGACAAUAUACUUUUCACAGGGUAACCAAAGAAGAAGGCUGCUGCAAACAUUAGUGAGGAAAGUGUGAAGCCAUGCAAAGGCCAAUGUGGGCAACCAGGAAAGGCUCUUACCAUGCUGUUACCAUUGUCUCCUUCCUAUUGUAUGUAAACCACCCAAUCUUGUUACUUUGAUAUGGCCACAAGAAAGGACAGCCACUCCUGCAUGUUUUAUCUUACAGCAAAAUGGAAAGAAAGUGCACCAGAAUAGCUUCCCAUACCAUCACUCCUGUGCUCCCAUCUAAUGGUUUGUUUUCUGUUAUAACGUGUCAUGAGGUGUGGUGAACCGACUCCAGUGAUGAGAUACAUGGUCUGUGGCCUGUAAGUUCACUCCCAAAUGAGAAUGUUCUUAAAGUCCUUCUGCCCAUCGUGCUAUUUAUGGAGUGGAAAUUGCUUCCUCCUUGGAAACUAGUUGUGUUCCAAAAGAGCUGAGGUUUAGAGAAUUCAAAUAAAUACUGCCAGUCUUUA